rnacentral:rRNA from 1 species
ACGGCCAUACCACCCUGAACUCGCCCGAUCUCGUCUGAUCUCAGAAGCUAAGCAGGGUCGGGCCUGGUUAGUACUUUGAUGGGAGAAAUACGAAGUUAAAAGGGAGAUAACAGGGAAGUUAAAAGUG